UCCAGUGUUUUAGGAGUAUUAAGAGGAAGAAAAUUACGGUCAUCAUUUCAUUUUUUAGAAAAUUGUACGGUCUGAAGGUCUAAAAAAAGUUCAUUUAAUUAAAUAUGCUGCAAUUACUUAACAGAAUUUUCUGAAGGCAGAAAGAUUAAAUAAGUGAAUCAUAGAGGAAGAAUAAGAAAAAUGAGUUAGUGAUAGAGCAAGAGGACAAAAUAAACAUAAGAAAAAUAAACCAUUACAUCCAGUGUUUUAAGAGUAUCGAGAGGAAGAGGUGAGGGUCAUAAUUUCAGUUUCGAGAAGAUUGUAUUGUCUGAACAAGUUAAUUGAAUGGAUUAUGCUACAACUAAUUGACAGAAUUUCCUGAAGGCAUAAAUAUUAAAUAAGUGAAUCAUAUUUUCGAGUGUCAACGAUACUGAAUUAGUCAACAGCAUAAAAACUUUCAACCAGAAACUUACCAGGAUUUGAGCAUAACUUUGAGUCGGCGAAUGUGGGAUUUUUAUCAAGAGGAUGUAGUCGGAGACAACAGAACCACCUCUAAAGCUGCUUUGCGUUGGUACUUGGUAGUGACCCUUCAGCCUAACCAUGUUGAUUCUGGGAGUGAUCAUCGGCGUGACGCUGAGUGUCAUCGUUGCGGACUUCCUCACCAAACACAGUAAACUCAUUAGUUUUGAAUGAUAAUCAGUAAUUUCUCAAACACGCCCUAAGCACACACCUAGCCAUGUAUACGUUGUACGUCGUGGCAGCGUGUAUGAUUGCCUUGAUACUCAGCGACCGGCUGGGGUAUGAUAAACUCAAAUGGUUUUAAAUCUGCAUUUUAUUCCAUAUCCAGA